UACAGAGGGCUCGAGCGUUAUUCGGAAUCACUGGGCUUAAAGGGUGCGUAGGUGGCUCGCCAAGUGUUUUGUGAAAUCCCACAGCUCAACUGUGGAACAGCAGGGCAAACUGGCGAGCUUGAGGCAGGUAGGGGCCGGAAGAACAGUUGGUGGAGCGGUGAAAUGCGUAGAUAUCAACUGGAAUGCCGAUGGGGAAGCCGGCCGGCUGGGCCUGUCCUGACACUGAGGCACGAAAGCGUGGGGAGCAAACAGG
rnacentral:rRNA from 1 species